GGGAGGCAGCCAACCAAGCAGACCUAAGACAGUGGGGAUUUCGGGACUGGAGCUGCAGCUUUAUGGGGAGACCACUUUUCUGGGAGAACUCCUCUUACAUCACCGGCCAUCUGAUACGUGGAAAGUGCUCUCCUCUGAGAUGUGUCUUCAGUGAUGCCACCUUCUCUGCCUCCUGUCCCCUGAAGACUUGCAGCCCUGAUGGUCUCAAUCACACUAUGUGAUAAUUUUGCUUUGGUCUCUC
rnacentral:lncRNA from 1 species